rnacentral:lncRNA from 1 species
AGACCCAAAAGUGGGCCCAAGUCAUCCAGUUCUCAUUAUGCCUUGGUUCGCAGGAGGGGACACAGGACCCCUACUCCCUCCUAGAAGCAGCUCUGCACUCAGGACAACGUGCCCCCGUCGGGGGAGGCAGGGCCUGGGCGGAAGGCCACUUCUGCAGACUUUUCCAGGCCCCCAUCUGCUGCACAGAGCUCUGGCUGACCCUAGCCCAAGCCUUUUAGAACCGCCCCUUGACCUGCGAUUCCUUUUCUGGAAUUCAUUUUAGGGCCCAGUCAGGGGUGUUCCCAGAGCAGUCUGCAAUAACAAAAUGUCUAUGGCGAAGUGUCCUCAUAGAGGACUGGGCAGUGAGCCACGGGCCAGCCCUCUGGUGAACCCCCAGGGGCCGUCAAAGGGGUCCGGGACAGCAGUGACAGCCAGGCCUUGGCUCCUGCCGCCCUUCAAAUGUGCCUGGGUGCGACGGCAACCCGCGGCCGGCGGGGCGGGGGGACCUUUUGUUUGUUUGUUAUUAUUUGUAGAGAUGGUGGGGGUCUCACUACGUUUCCCGGGCUGGUCUCGAACUCUUCAGCUCAGAAGAACCUCCCGCCUCGGCCUCCCAAAGCGCGGGAUCACAGGCGAGAGCCACCGCGCCGGCCGGCCGCCAUAUGGAUUUUGUCCAGUCUUUCGAUCUUCCAGCGACCAGCAAAUGUAAACAGAGCAGCUCACAUGAGGGAAGAAGUCGCCCAGGAAACGUCCUCUGGGAGGGGCGGGAAGG